UAGGGAAUCUUCCGCAAUGGGCGAAAGCCUGACGGAGCAACGCCGCGUGAGUGAUGAAGGUCUUCGGAUCGUAAAACUCUGUUAUUAGGGAAGAACAUAUGUGUAAGUAACUGUGCACAUCUUGACGGUACCUAAUCAGAAAGCCACGGCUAACUACGUGCCAGCAGCCGCGGUAAUACGUAGGUGGCAAGCGUUAUCCGGAAUUAUUGGGCGUAAAGCGCGCGUAGGCGGUUUUUUAAGUCUGAUGUGAAAGCCCACGGCUCAACCGUGGAGGGUCAUUGGAAACUGGAAAACUUGAGUGCGGAAGAGGAAAGUGGAAUUCCAUGUGUAGCGGUGAAAUGCGCAGAGAUAUGGAGGAACACCAGUGGCGAAGGCGACUUUCUGGUCUGUAACUGACGCUGAUGUGCGAAAGCGUGGGGAUCAAACAGGAUUAGAUACCCUGGUAGUCCACGCCGUAAACGAUGAGUGCUAAGUGUUAGGGGGUUUCCGCCCCUUAGUGCUGCAGCUAACGCAUUAAGCACUCCGCCUGGGGAGUACGACCGCAAGGUUGAAACUCAAAUGAAUUGACGGGGGCCCGCACAAGCGGUGGAGCAUGUGGUUUAAUUCGAAGCAACGCGAAGAACCUUACC
rnacentral:rRNA from 1 species